UACGUAGGGGGCAAGCGUUGUCCGGAUUUAUUGGGCGUAAAGAGCGUGUAGGCGGCCCGGUAAGUCCGCUGUGAAAGUCGGGGGCUCAACCCUCGAAUGCCGGUGGAUACUGUCGGGCUAGAGUGCGGAAGAGGCGAGUGGAAUUCCUGGUGUAGCGGUGAAAUUCGUAGAUAUUAGGAAGAACACCAGUGGCGAAGGCGGCUCACUGGCCCGGUACUGACGCUGAGGCGCGAAAGCGUGGGGAGCAAACAGG
rnacentral:rRNA from 1 species